AUGAAGACCAACACCAAAAAAAAUAAAAAAGGAAACAAGACAUCUUUAGACACAUCUGGUUAUUCGCCGGUUCGUGAAGAAAUUUAUCGUAUCAAUUCUCACCCACACCACACCCUUUCAUUCUCCGAUCCACUCUACACCUUCUUCCAUUCAAUUCCUUCUUUCUUCUUCUUUUUUCCUCCUUUUUCUCCCAAGUUCAACUCUAUUCUAUUCUCAGAUAAAUAA